UACAGAGGUGGCAAGCGUUGUUCGGAAUUACUGGGCGUAAAGGGCGCGUAGGCGGCCAUCUAAGUCAGACGUGAAGUCCCCCGGCUUAACCUGGGAACUGCGUCUGAUACUGGACGGCUUGAGUGCGGGAGAGGGAUGUGGAAUUCCAGGUGUAGCGGUGAAAUGCGUAGAUAUCUGGAGGAACACCGGUGGCGAAGGCGGCAUCCUGGACCGGUAUUGACGCUGAGGCGCGAAAGCUAGGGGAGCAAACGGG
rnacentral:rRNA from 1 species